rnacentral:ncRNA from 1 species
GGUCGGAUAAGGCGUUUACGCCGCAUCCGACAGUCGAGCAUCAAUGCCUGAUGCGAUGCUGCGCAUCUUAUCAGGAC